rnacentral:rRNA from 1 species
GGAUUCCCCUAGUAACUGCGAGUGAAGCGGGAAAAGCUCAAAUUUAAAAUCUGGUGGUCUCUGGCCAUCCGAGUUGUAAUCUAGAGAAGUGUUACCCGCGUCGGACCGUGUAUAAGUCUCCUGGAAUGGAGCGUCAUAGAGGGUGAGAAUCCCGUCUUUGACACGGACUACCGAGGCUUUGUGGUAUGCUCUCAAAGAGUCGAGUUGUUUGGGAAUGCAGCUCAAAAUGGGUGGUAAAUUCCAUCUAAAGCUAAAUAUUGGCGAGAGACCGAUAGCGAACAAGUACCGUGAGGGAAAGAUGAAAAGAACUUUGGAAAGAGAGUUAAACAGUACGUGAAAUUGCUGAAAGGGAAACGCUUGAAGUCAGUCGCGUUGGCCGGGAAUCAGCCUUGCUUUUGCUUGGUGUACUUUCUGGUUGACGGGCCAGCAUCAGUUUUGACCGGUGGAAAAAGUUCAGGGGAAUGUGGCAUCUUCGGAUGUGUUAUAGCCCUUGUUCGUAUACAUCGGUUGGGACUGAGGAACUCAGCACGCCGCAAGGCCGGGUCUUUGACCACGUUCGUGCUUAGGAUGCUGGCAUAAUGGCUUUAAUCGACCCGUCUUGAAACACGGACCAAGGAGUCUAACAUGCCUGCGAGUGUUUGGGUGGAAAACCCGAGCGCGUAAUGAAAGUGAAAGUUGAGAUCCCUGUCAUGGGGAGCAUCGACGCCCGGACCUGACGUUUUCUGACGGCCCUGCGGUAGAGCAUGUAUGUUGGGACCCGAAAGAUGGUGAACUAUGCCUGAAUAGGGUGAAGCCAGAGGAAACUCUGGUGGAGGCUCGUAGCGAUUCUGACGUGCAAAUCGAUCGUCAAAUUUGGGUAUAGGGGCGAAAGACU